UGUUGCUCUACCUGUCAAGAACUCUUACUAUUGCUAACUUCUUCGUGGUCAUUUGUAAUCAAACAAUCAAGUAUAUCGGUUAAAAUAUAUAUCAAUACUUUCCUAUUUCGUCAUAGACUCCGCUGAGAUUUGAGCUCUUAAUUUUCCCAUGGAAGACUUGCUUGAAUGUUUCCAAAGGAAGAAUCGGCUGAUAUUUGCGCUCUUUAUUUUCACAUGAAAACCCUUCUUGUAGGUUUCAAUCACAGUAAUUUGCUUAUUAUUGUUAGAAUACUAUUAAGUAUUUCAUAACGGCAAAAGAUUGGGUUUUAUGUAGAUGCAUGUUUUCAUACAUUUUCUUUAUGUUAGCUUGCUAUGAAUAUAAGGAGG
rnacentral:lncRNA from 1 species